GAAGGGAGAGAGGAAUCCCACGGGCAGAGGGAUGCCCCGCACCGACAGCGCUCCGGGUUCGGGGAAGGGAACCUCCCAGGGGAUGGAGGUCCCACCAGGGACGGGAAGCCGAAAUUCGGAACCUUCCUGCGGCCACGGCGCUGUCCCGGUUGCUUUCCCCCGUUCUGCCACCCGGGGGAAGCUGCGGAGCUGCUAUGAGUUCGUGAAGGUUUUAGGGGACCCGCAUGUCCUGUGGUCACCAGUGAGCUUAGCAGCGGGACACCCUCGUCACCAAGAGGUCCUCAUGUGAUGUGGGUAACAAAGUCACAUCCUCAGGGAGCUGGAGACAAGGAGAGGCCACAGAACUUCAGAUUUGGUAGGCUCCAACCAUGCCACACCGAUGUCCUUCUGCAGGAACUUGAGGUCCACCACUCUUGAUGCACAUUGCCAAGAGCACAGGUGCUCAGGAGCCACAGUCGCUCUGAGACUUUCUGCCCCAGCCUUAGCCAUCGUCCCCCAUAACCUCCAACUUCAAAAGGCACUGUUCACGCCGCAGACAGCAAUCUGCAUUUCCUCACAGACAGUGGACCAAGCUCAGCAUGAGGCCAGCCAAGGUAAAUGGCCCAUGGGACUUGGCAAGCUGUGAAGCCCUCUCUGGUACCACGUGCUGAGCCUCACUGCAGCCUGAAUUCCUUAUUAUAGAGUGGCUUACAUUGGAGGGGACCUUAAGGAUCAUCCAGCCUCAACCCCUUGUUGUGAGCAGGGUUGUCCCCCAGCAGCUCAGGCUGCCCAGGGCCCAUCCAUAGCCUGGGGCACCUCCAGGGAUGGGGCAGCACAGCUCUGGGCAGCAGUGGCAGCACCUCACCGCUCCGAGCAAAGAAUUUCUUCCUAACACCUUGUUCUUUCCUCCUGCCCUUUUGGUUCUCUCCCCCUUUUCACAGCAAAAUACCGGAGAACAAAUCACAUCCCUGCGUGGGAGCUUUAUCCACCCGUUCGUUUUGCAUCCCUCUUUCUUCCCCUCCAUCCCUCCCUCUUUCCCCCUGAUGCUCCCCACGCUGCGGCGUUGCAAUCUGUCAGCGGACAGACGCAGCCCGGCUGCAGCUCAGCGCACCGCGACGCACGGGUCAGAGGGGGCAGAUCACUUAACACUACACCUGUUUUAUGAAUAAUAGUGCAAGGCAGCUUUGCUGGGUUCCUGGGAGGGCGUUUUCCCACCAGGAUAAACCCCACGUAUCAAACAAAUUCACGUCUUUAAAUCGUUUGGCUCUGGUUAGCUCCGGUGAUGGGCAGCUCCGGCAGUGCCAUGCAGGCUGGGGGAAGCAUAGGUGGAGCUUGGGAGUGGCUUGUGCACCGUAAGCUUUGCUUAAGGAUGAGUGUGAUCAUAGAUUUGGGUUUGAAUAGCGAGUUUUAAGUGUGAAAAGCAGGAAAACCAAAGAAACCGGGAAACAAAACCCUUGAGAACAGGAUCCAUCAAAUCUUAGAAAUAUCAAACCUAAGCUGAUGUUGUAACAACCUCUAAAGCACUGUGGUUUGUAAAGCAGCCUGGUGCUCUCCAAGAGCAGCCAAAGUUGGAUUUCUGAGCCUGGUGGAGAUGUUGUCCACCUCUCCAUCCCAACCAUAGCAUCCCUGGGUAACUUCUCCCUUCGGCUGCACUGCCACAUCGCUGGGGUCCCUGCAUCCCAUGGGGCACUCAGCACUGCCCAGCAGUACAACCCAUUGAUGGAAUGAGAGCUGCCUCCCAGCGCAGGCUGUGCAGGGAUGGGGACCAGCUCAGGAAAGGCAAAACACACGAAGGAAGCCACUUUCAAUUUGAAAUGAUUAAAAAUAUAUAUAUAUCCGA